GACGAACGCUGGCGGCGUGCUUAACACAUGCAAGUCGAACGGAAAGGCCCUGCUUUUGUGGGGUGCUCGAGUGGCGAACGGGUGAGUAACACGUGAGUAACCUGCCCUUGACUUUGGGAUAACUUCAGGAAACUGGGGCUAAUACCGGAUAGGAGCUCCUGCUGCAUGGUGGGGGUUGGAAAGUUUCGGCGGUUGGGGAUGGACUCGCGGCUUGUCAGCUUGUUGGUGGGGUAGUGGCUUACCAAGGCUUUGACGGGUAGCCGGCCUGAGAGGGGGACCGGCGACAGGGGGAGUGAGAGAGGGGCCAGAGUGCGACGGGAGGGAGGAGGGGGGAAGGGGGGAGAAGGGGCGGGAGGGGGAGGCAGCAGCGCGGCGGGGGGGAUGAGGGGCGGGGGGUGGGAAGCGGGGUGGGGGGGGGAGGAAGCGGGAGUGACGGUAAGGGGUAGAGAAGCACCGGCUAGCUAGGUG
rnacentral:rRNA from 1 species